GUGGUAGAGGCAGUGGUAGUGGUAGAGAUAUAUAUAGUGGUAGAAGUAGAGGUAGUGGUAGAGAUAGUGGUAGUGGUAGAGAUAGUGGUACUAGUAGAGGUAGAGGUAGUGUUAGAAGUAUUGGUAGAGAUAGUGGUAGUGGUAGAGAUAGAGGUAGUGGUAGAGAUAGUGGUAGCGGUACUGGUAGAGGUAGAGGUACUGGUAGAGGUACUGGUAGCGAUAGAGGUAGUGGUAGAGGUAGAGGUAGAGGUAGAGGUGGUGGUAGUGGUAGUGGUAGAGAUAGAGGUAGAGUAAGUGAUAGAGGUAGUGGUAGAGGUAGAGGUGGUGGGAGAGGUAGAGGUGGUGGUAGUGGUAGUGGUAGAGUUAGAGAUAUAGAUAGGCGUAGAGGUAGAGAUAGUGGUAGAGACAGUGGUAGAGGUAGUGGUAGAGAUAGAGAUAGUUGUAGUGGUAGAGGUAGAUGUAGUGGUAGUUGUAGAGGUAGUGGUAGAG
ensembl:lncRNA